UACGUAGGGUCCGAGCGUUGUCCGGAAUUCCUGGGCGUAAAGAGCUCGUAGGUGGUUUGUCGCGUUGUUCGUGAAAACUCACAGCUCAACUGUGGGCGUGCGGGCGAUACGGGCAGACUGGAGUACUGCAGGGGAGACUGGAAUUCCUGGUGUAGCGGUGAAAUGCGCAGAUAUCAGGAGGAACACCGGUGGCGAAGGCGGUUCUCUGGGCAUGUCCUGACGCUGAGGAGCGAAAGUGUGGGGAGCGAACAGG
rnacentral:rRNA from 1 species